GACGAACUGUCCAAACGUUGUUCGGAAUCACUGGGCUUAAAGGGCGCGUAGGCGGUCGAUCAAGUCAGGGUGAAAUCCUGCAGCUUAACUGUAGAAGUGCCUCUGAUACUGAUCGUCUUGAGGGAGGUAGGGGUGUGCGGAACUUCCAGUGGAGCGGUGAAAUGCGUUGAUAUUGGAAGGAACGCCGGUGGCGAAAGCGGCGCACUGGACCUCUUCUGACGCUGAGGCGCGAAAGCUAGGGGAGCAAACGGG
rnacentral:rRNA from 1 species